UCGGACAUGGUGUAUGGUACACGCCCUCUUUCAUUAGAUUAGCUCAUAGCAGCUGCAAGAGGGAGUACGGGGUUCGACUCCCUGUGUUCGAC